GACAGAGGCCUCGAGCGUUAGGCGGAAUUACUGGGCGUAAAGCGUGCGCAGGCGGUUUUGUAAGCCAGAUGUGAAAUCCCCGGGCUUAACCUGGGAAUGGCAUUUGGGACUGCAAGGCUUGAGUGCGGCAGAGGAGACUGGAAUUCCUGGUGUAGCAGUGAAAUGCGUAGAUAUCAGGAGGAAUACCGAUGGCGAAGGCAGGUCUCUGGGCUGACACUGACGCUCAUGCACGAAAGCGUGGGGAGCAAACAGG
rnacentral:rRNA from 1 species